UGGGGGAUAUUGCACAAUGGGCGAAAGCCUGAUGCAGCGACGCCGCGUGGGGGAUGAAGGCCUUCGGGUUGUAAACUUCUUUUGCUCUUAACAAGGCGCACCAUGGGGUGUGUUGAGUGUAGGGGUUGAUUAGCGCCGGCUAACUACGUGCCAGCAGCCGCGGUAAUACGUAGGGCGCGAGCGUUGUCCGGAAUUAUUGGGCGUAAAGGGCUUGUAGGUGGCUGGUUGCGUCUGUCGUGAAAGCUCAUGGCUUAACUGUGGGUUUGCGGUGGGUACGGGCUGGCUUGAGUGCAGUAGGGGAGGCUGGAAUUCCUGGUGUAGCGGUGGAAUGCGCAGAUAUCAGGAGGAAUACCGGUGGCGAAGGCGGGUCUCUGGGCUGUUACUGACACUGAGGAGCGAAAGCAUGGGGAGCGAACAGG
rnacentral:rRNA from 1 species